ACUAAUGUUGAAAAAUUAGCGGAUGACUUGUGGCUGGGGGUGAAAGGCCAAUCAAACCGGGAGAUAGCUGGUUCUCCCCGAAAGCUAUUUAGGUAGCGCCUCGUGAAUUCAUCUCCGGGGGUAGAGCACUGUUUCGGCAAGGGGGUCAUCCCGACUUACCAACCCGAUGCAAACUGCGAAUACCGGAGAAUGUUAUCACGGGAGACACACGGCGGGUGCUAACGUCCGUCGUGAAGAGGGAAACAACCCAGACCGCCAGCUAAGGUCCCAAAGUCAUGGUUAAGUGGGAAACGAUGUGGGAAGGCCCAGACAGCCAGGAUGUUGGCUUAGAAGCAGCCAUCAUUUAAAGAAAGCGUAAUAGCUCACUGGUCGAGUCGGCCUGCGCGGAAGAUGUAACGGGGCUAAACCAUGCACCGAAGCUGCGGCAGCGACGCUUAUGCGUUGUUGGGUAGGGGAGCGUUCUGUAAGCCUGUGAAGGUGUGCUGUGAGGCAUGCUGGAGGUAUCAGAAGUGCGAAUGCUGACAUAAGUAACGAUAAAGCGGGUGAAAAGCCCGCUCGCCGGAAGACCAAGGGUUCCUGUCCAACGUUAAUCGGGGCAGGGUGAGUCGACCCCUAAGGCGAGGCCGAAAGGCGUAGUCGAUGGGAAACAGGUUAAUAUUCCUGUACUUGGUGUUACUGCGAAGGGGGGACGGAGAAGGCUAUGUUGGCCGGGCGACGGUUGUCCCGGUUUAAGCGUGUAGGCUGGUUUUCCAGGCAAAUCCGGAAAAUCAAGGCUGAGGCGUGAUGACGAGGCACUACGGUGCUGAAGCAACAAAUGCCCUGCUUCCAGGAAAAGCCUCUAAGCAUCAGGUAACAUCAAAUCGUACCCCAAACCGACACAGGUGGUCAGGUAGAGAAUACCAAGGCGCUUGAGAGAACUCGGGUGAAGGAACUAGGCAAAAUGGUGCCGUAACUUCGGGAGAAGGCACGCUGAUACGUAGGUGAAGUCCCUCGCGGAUGGAGCUGAAAUCAGUCGAAGAUACCAGCUGGCUGCAACUGUUUAUUAAAAACACAGCACUGUGCAAACACGAAAGUGGACGUAUACGGUGUGACGCCUGCCCGGUGCCGGAAGGUUAAUUGAUGGGGUCAGCGCAAGCGAAGCUCUUGAUCGAAGCCCCGGUAAACGGCGGCCGUAACUAUAACGGUCCUAAGGUAGCGAAAUUCCUUGUCGGGUAAGUUCCGACCUGCACGAAUGGCGUAAUGAUGGCCAGGCUGUCUCCACCCGAGACUCAGUGAAAUUGAACUCGCUGUGAAGAUGCAGUGUACCCGCGGCAAGACGGAAAGACCCCGUGAACCUUUACUAUAGCUUGACACUGAACAUUGAGCCUUGAUG
rnacentral:rRNA from 1 species